rnacentral:siRNA from 1 species
UGACUUUUGGGUGACAUCCAC